GUCAUCGAUGGAUGGAUUUUCAAAUAACUUGGCAUGAAUGUGUACCACAGUAAGACGACGUGUCGCGCGCAAGACCCAGGUCCGUAGCUCAAAGGUCAAGGUCACACUUAGACGUUAAAGGUCAUUUUUCAUGAUAGUGCAUUGAUGGGCGUGUCCGGUCCAUAUCUUUGUCAUUCAUGCAUGGAUUUUAAAAUAACUACGCAUGAAUGUGUGGCACAGUAAGACGACGUGUCGCGCGCAAGACCCAGCUCCGUAGGUCAAAGGUCCUAAACUCUAACAUCGGCCAUAACUACUCAUUCAAAGUGCCAUCGGGGGCAUAUGUCAUCCUAUGGAGACAGCUCUUGUUUUUUUAAAUGUUCAAUCCUUCAACAUGUUAAGUUGUGACUGCACAAACCUGCCCUCAGCCAUGUUCAAGAUAUCUUACCUGUGUUCUCUUAAGGACAUCUGUUCUUUUAAGUUCAAAUGUACAUGUUAAACAGCAACACCUGGUGCCAAACCACUCAAAGACAAUAUUUCGUUAAAGUUUAACUUCAAGCUCACAUUUCAGUUAACUGCAUUUAAUUUUAAAAGCUAAGCUUAUAACAGUAAGCAUAUCCCAUUCAAAAUAAAUUCUUUAGUCAGGAUCAAAGUAUCAUACAUUUAUUAUGUACUCUUUAAUUAAACAUUUGUUUUUUGUUAAAUUGAUUUUGACUAAUGAAAUUAUUUGCUUCUUAUUAACAUCCUUAACUUUUUGCAGGAUAUAUUGUUUUGCCAUUCCUCACCACAAACCCUUUUGGCGGGGGAUACCAAUUCAUCGAAUUUGCUUGUUUAAAAAAAAAGCCCAUUUUUUCUUCUAUACUGGUUGGUAAGAUAACCUUGACCCUAAAUUGCAGUUUUUUUUGGCAAUGUAUUUUUCAUCUGUGAAAAUAUUUUAUGCCUUUGCACAUCAAAACAAACUGAAGCUCAUCACUUUCCUGGUGACACCUUAGAAAAAGGGAAUAGUCUAUUAAGAGGCCCAGAAAGGGUAGAUAAAAUUUGCACCUGAGUUAUUUUCAUCACAAAUGUUGAAAAUUAUUACUGUUAUCAAAACAUGUUGACAUUGGUUUCAUGUAAGUUUGAACCAUUUAAUUAAUUAAGUAUUUGCUUCUUAGGUAACUUUUGACACUCAGUCUGGUAACUAUGUUACAUGUCAAAACAACAGUAAAUCGUUGGUUAAAUUUCAUAGGUAUCACAUAAAACAUGUCUGUGAUUGUUUUGUACUACGCUGUGUUGGAUGACUGCUUGCCUAAUUGGAAGCACAUAUAUUUUAGAAACCUGUAGUUGCCCUUACAAGACAGUUGUUUGCGUCGGGGAACCAGAAAUGGAAUCUCCCAGUCAUUUUGACAGCAAUUUUUUUGAACAAAAAUUCCUGGUCAGUGAAAAUCAUUUAAUAUGUACUGAUUUCGUCAAGAUUUUCAGUUGUUGUAGAGUUUUGAUAAUUCUGAUUGAUGAUGAACUUGAUUUUAAGAGACAAAAUGUUAAAUCAAUUUGAUAACGAAACAACAAGGUAAUCUAUGUGGCAAAGUUAUCUUGCCUACCGGUAUAGGUAGAGACACAAGUCCAAUAUGGGGGUAAGGGAUAGUAAACUUUGCAAAAACUGAUUGAUACCAGUGCAGAAAAAAUCGUAAAAAAGUUCCAUUUGGAGCAAUGUAAGCAUUUUCUGUCAUUUAUACAAAGAAAUAAGUAUCAGAUUCAAGACACUAAAAUCUUGAGACAAUAAUUGCCCAGAUUGCUGAUGUCAGUAGUUUUGUCCGAUAGUCUGCCCAUCGGUAGACACUUCAGUUUCUUAUAAAUAACUGGACAAUGGUUUUGUCUGCAGUGGUCAAACUAAAUAGGAUGAUUUUAUCUGUGGUCUGUAGACUACCCCUGAUUUUAAUUGGAUCAGUAGGUCAAAGUUGUAGUGACCUUCAGACCAUUAAGUUUUCAGCUCUAUAACUGAAACAUUCUCAGACUGCAGUAAUAUUACUUACAAUGUUUGCCUAUUGUCAGUAGAUGAUUCCAGUCAGUUUCUAGGUCAGUAAGUUAAAGGUCCAGGUCAAACCAUACUGAAAAAAAUUCAUUUCAAUAUUUGGAGAAGCCCCGGGUCGGGCUUGCAGUAGUCAAACUUCAUAGGACUGCCUGAGGACUGUAGAGGAUUCCUAUGAAUUUGGAGGUCAGAAGGUCAAAGUCUGUGUUACAGUGGCCUCCGGACUGAAAAUGGGUCGCUCAAAAAAAACAUAAAAUAUUUGGACUUACAAUGGUCAAAACACACUGGAUAAUUGCCUGUGGGCAAUAGAUUAAUCAUAUUGUUUUGGGGACCAGAGGCUGAAGGUCAAGGUCACAUUGACCUUGUUACUAAAAACAGUAUCUGCUCAGUUACUGGGGCAGGCUUGGGUCUACAGUGGACAAAUUUGAUAGGUUGAUUGCCUGUUGUCAGCAGAUGACCCCUAAAGUUUUGAGAGGAUUGUACAUCAAGGGUCACAGUCAACAAGACUUUGAGACUUCAGACAGUUCCUAAUCAAUAACUGAAGAAUGCUUAGACCUACAGUUGUCUAACAUUCAAAGACCAUUGACUAGGGGCAUAUGUAUUUUACAAACAGUUCUUAACUUAGAAAAAAAAUAAUGGCAGAAACACAGAAUUAAUCUGUUUCACAAAAUAAUGUAGUUCCAUUAAGUUGUAUCCUUUUCUUAUCCUAAUAUUUAUUUUGUUAAAGUGAAAGGUUUGAGUGUCUGUAUGGAUUGAAAAAUUAUUACAAUGUUGGCAAAAGCUUUGAUAUGGCAGCAAUGUAACUGUAUAGUUGUAGCUGUUUUACCAUUUAGAGUAAGGAUAAUGUAUAAUACAAAGUAGUUGAGUGUUAGCAGAGAUAUACCUUGUUCAAGGUGCUUUGGUGUGGGAGUCACUUACACUGAUAUUGUUCAUGAAGAGGAAGUAUUAAAAGCAAUAAAUGUUGCUGUAUUAGCUUUAUUGAUGUUUCAGAAAUGUAAUUGAUAUUGAAUGUUUCACAGAUUGCUGUUUGUUUUAAGACAGAAAAUAAUUGCCAUUGUAGGCAGACACAUCGGAGAAGUUCUUUUAAUUUCAUAUGUCACAAUAAUAACUCUGAUAUUGUCAUUAGACAGCUCUUGUUGUUCACUCAGAAACACUUAGACUCAGCAUGGUGUCAUACAAUACUCCUCUGCCUCAUCCUUUGACAAACUGUAAAAUAAUUUUAUAUUGUAGAUGUAUAAAAUGUCAUGGUAUGGCCCAAAAGGGCUGUUUGAGGCGAUAUAGAUCUGUAAUUUCAAUUUUUGAUGGUAAAAGUAGAAUUUGUAAGUAUACCUUUGGAUUGAAUUUACAGGUUGAUGCUACAAAAUCCACAAUAAGUCCCCUGUUAAUAGUGAUGUUUUCACAGUAUGGACCAUUAAAAACACACUGUUAGAUAGAAUCAAUAGAUACAUAUUUAUGCAUGUAUUUAUGUGCCUGUUUUGAAAAGAAAAAAAAAACGGACGUAUUAUGUGAUGGUGUGUGGGUCUGUCUGUCUGUCCAUCUGCUUUCUGUCUGUCAUAUUUUGUGUCUGGAGCUUAAAUCAGUAACAGUUCGAGGUAUUGACUUUAAACUUGGCAUAUUGGUAGACGGCGAUGAGAAGAUGUGCAGAGCACAUGAACCUGGUCAAUAGGUCAAAGUCAAGGCCACAAAUACAGCUCAAAAGCAAGGCUGCAAAUGGAGGUCAGAUGUCAAAUUUAACCCUUGUAUUUCGUGUCUGGAGCAUAACUUAAGUACUAUUCAAAGUAUUGACUAAGUUAGCUUACUGGUAGGUGGUGGUAAGAUGGUGUGCAGAGCACAUGAAUAGUAGGUCUAAGGUCAGGGUCACAGAUGAAGGUCAAAGGUCAAAUUUGACCUUCAUAUUCCUUGUGUAGAGCGUAAUUUAAUAACCAUUAGGUAUUGACCUCGAUCGUGGCAUAUAGGCAGGUGGCAAUGAGAUGAUGUGCAGAGUGCAUGGACAGAGUCACAGCAAGGUCAAAUUUGUCUGUUAUAUUUUGUGUCCAGAGCAUAACUUGAUAAGCAUUCAAGGCAUUUAUUUCAAACUUGGCAUAAAAGGUAGGUAGCAAUGAGACGAUGUGCAUAGCACCUGAGCUUGAUCUGUAGGUCUAAGGUCAAGGUCACAGAUUGAGUUCAAAUCUGUCCUUUGUAUUUUGUGUACAGAGCUCAACUUUAAAACUAUUCAAGAUACUGACUUUUUACCUGGAAUACAGUUUGGUGGUGAUGUGUGAUUUUGAGUAGUGCAGCAACAAUUGUUUUUUGAAAAGCACUUAUAUAUUGUAUUUAUAUUAUGUUUGAGCACAUGAACUAGUUUGGUAGGUCAUAGGUCAUACAGCAAAGUCAUAUCAGUUCAUCAUAUUUUUUGUCCAGAGCAUAAUUUCAUAACCAGUGAAGGUAUUAACGUUGAACUUGGCAUGUAGGUAGAUGGCAGUCAGACAAUGUGCAGAGCGCAUGAACUCGGUCUGUAAGUCAGUGGUCAAGGUCACAAAUUGAAUUAAAAUCUGUCUGUUUUAUUUUAUGUCUGGAGCACAACUUUAAAACUAUUCAAGAUUAUGACUUUAAACUUGCAUUAAAGAUGGAUGAUGAUAAAGUGGUUUGAGGAUUGCAACAAUCCAGAUUACCCACCCAUCCCACUCAUUAAACCUCCCACCACCCUCCUCUCUUCCCCCCACCCUCUCAUUUACUUUCAGUUUCUUAUGCCGUAAUACUCCAUCACCGUUGCCACGCAACCCCCACCCUCCAAAUGCCACAUUACAUCCCUGCUCCCAAAUACCCAGGAAAAAAAUCUUUAAACCUGACUUCCUCCUUUGGGGUAUAUUUAAAGCAAUGACAUUGAUUCACCUUCAUCCAUCCUAAUUUGUUAAUCAUCAUGUUUAAAAAUAGAUAUCUGAGGUUAACUCUCUCAGUACAGUUAAAAAUUAAUAUUUCUUAUAUACACACCUGUGACAGAUAUUUCUGGUAUUUCAUUGUUGAUUUUGUCAUGAAAAAUUAUUUAUAAAGGUUUAUUAAGAUUAAUGUCUUAGAAAAAGUUAUUUCUGUAUUCAUAAAAUAUUUAUUUUAAGGAUUUCUGUAUUUGUGGUUAUUCAGUAGUUCUCAUGUUAAAGUUAUUAUUUUCCACCAUAAGGAUUGUGCUUGCAUUUAUUUUAAGUAGCUCACUAGAGCUAUUGUGAUCAUUCACCUUCCUUGGUAUGACAUAUGUCAACCAUUUUCUUCAAAUCAUCUCCUUUGAAGCCAUUAAGUGAAAGUUAUGAAACUGUCCGUAAAUGUUCAUUGGAUGGUCCUCUUCCAAAAUUCAACAGCUCUGUUUAGCUGCACAAAGUUUAAAAUAGAAACAUUUUUGAACAGUACUUUUAGCUCGGCUAUAUGAAGUAUCUGGAGAGCUAUCCUACUCACCCCGGCGUCGGGCCCCAUGUGGUUCUGGGACGAUCUGUGUAUGAAAAGAAUUGGAACCACUGCCUUACCCUUGCAUGAUUGUAAGAGGCGACUAAUAGGGUCUUAACACUUGGUUUUGCUGUAACUCUGUGAUUCCAGCAGGUAUACAAAUUUUGAUUCCAUACCUCAUGUUUUUAUUUCGAUGUAAAUGAGAUGUGAAACCAAAAUUUGUAGUCCUGUUUGGCGCGAUAUAACCUAUACUGUGUUGGUGUGCCGUAAAACCAAAAUAAAUAAAUAAAUAAAUACACCCCGGCGUCGGCGUCUUUCCGCAACCCCACCUUGGUUAAAGUUGUUUUUACACUUUCUCUUUUUUUCUCCUUAUCUUUGUAAUUACAUGAUGGAUUUGCUUUAAACUUAAAAUAGUUAUUCCUCAUCAUCACCCACAUCAUAUGGCACAAGAAAUACAGACUGACAUGAUCGCCAACAUGUCCAUGUGGUGAAGAAGAUCAGAUUGGUGAGCAUAUACUUCAGAGAUGUAAAAGGCAUGAACAGGAGCGAGCUGCGACUUGGCCGAUAGAUACCUCAAUCCACCAGAAAUUGUAUGGAGGCAUUGAGGAUCUGCGGCAAACCACAAGUUUCAUCGAGGCUACUGGUCUGACAGUGUAGUUGCGAACGAUAAGAAGAAGAAGAAUAUGGCACAAGGGCCAUAACUCUCACACCAAUAUUUCAUGAAUUAUCCCCCUUUUUACUUAGAAUUUCAGGUUAAAGUUUUGAUGUACCUUCACUCUAUCUCAGUUAUUCCUAAAUGGAUUUGAUUCAAACUGAAAGUAGUUGUUCUACAUCAUCUCCCACAUCAUAUGACACAAGGCCCAUAACUCUGGUACCAAUAUUUAAUGAAUUAUCUCCCCUUUUACUUAAAAUUUCAGGUUAAAGUUUUGAUGCGCUUUCACUAUAUCUCAGUUAUUACUAACUGGAUUUGAUUCAAACUUAAAAUGGUUGUUCAACAUCAUCACUCACAUUAUAUGACACAAGGGCCAUAACUCUUGCACCAAUAUUUCAUGAAUUAUGCCCCCUUUUUACUUAGAAUUUCAGGUUAAAGUUCUGAUACACUUGCACUCUAUCUCAGUUAUUACUAAAUGGAUUUUAUUCAAACUUAAAAUAGUUGUUCCACCUUAUCACCCACAUCAUAUGACACAAGGUGCAUAACUCUGGCACCAAUUUUUCAUGAAUAUGCCCCCUUUUACUUAGAAUUUAAGGUUAAUUUUGAUGCAUUUUCAGCAUAUCUCAGUCAUUAUGAAAUGGAUUUGAUUCAAACUUGAAGUAGUUGUUCCACAUCAUCACCUUCAUCAUACGACACAAGGUGCAUAACUCUUGCACCAGUAUUCUAUGAAUUAUGCCCCCUUUUUGCUUAGAAUUAUACUUAUGUAGUGUUUUGAUACACUUUAUCUUUACCUCUCUUAUUACUUAAUAUUUUGGCACAGACUCAAGCUAUUGUGCAAUAUCUUCAUCCACCAUUGGAGUCAUUAAACACUCCAGUGACAGCUCCAGUUUCCUCAGAUGAGCCCAGUUUCACUAUCCAGCAUCGAAAUAGUCAGGCGCGCUGUCUCCUGUGACAGCUCUUGUUUUCUAAACCACUUGUUUGACUUGGACAUAAUUUCACAGAAACAUUGCUUGGAUAGUAUUCAGAUUAAUCUGAUGCGUGAGAAAACAUGACUGCCAGUGAUUGUGGUCUCUAUUCCCAAUAUGUUUAGAGGAAAUGUAAACAAAUUUCUCAUGAACUGCUGACCAGAGGAUCCUUUGGUUACACCCUAUAAUGAUUGUUCAGAUUUGUAAAAAUUAUGGCCUUAUAUGAACUUUAAAAGUAUUUUUGUCAAAAACUGCUUUCCAUGACCAUUUUACCAAGAUUUUUUAUACCCCCACAAAACGAAGUUUGUGGGGGGAUAUAUAGGAGUGAGCUUGGCGGUCGGUCGGUCCGUUGGCUUUUGUAGUUUCCGGAUGAUAACUCCUGAAAGGCUUGACUAUUUAAAUAAUUUUUGGUACACAGGCGUAACAUUAGAAAAUACAGGUCAAGUUCGAAUUUGGGGUCAAUAGGUCAAAGGUCAAGGUCACAGUGACCCUGUACAGUUAAACGGUUUCCGGAUGACAACUUGAGAACGCUUGGGCCUAUGAUCAUAUAUUUGGUACACAGAUGUAACAUCAUGAAAUACAGGUCAAGUUUGACUUUGGGGUCUGUAGGUCAAAGGUCAAGGUCACAGUGACUCGGAACAAUUAAAUGGUUUCCGGAUGGUAAGUUGAGAACACUUGGGCCUAGGAUCAUAAUUUUGGUACACAGAUGUAACAUCAUGAAAUACAGGUCAAGUUCGACUUUGAGGUUUGUAGGUCAAAGGUCAAGGUCACAGUGACUCGGAACAGUUAAACGGUUUCAAGAUGAUAACUUGAGAACGCUUGGGUCUAGGAUCUAAAAUUUUUGUACACAGAUGUAACAUGAUUAAAUACAGGUCAUGUUCAACUUUGAGGUUAGUAGGUCAAAGGUCAAGGUCACAAUAACAUGAAACAGUUAAACAGUUUCCAGAUGAUAACUUGAGAACGUUUGGGCCUAGGAACAUGAAAAUUGAUAGCGAGGUUGGUUAUGACCAGCAGAUGACCCCUAAUGAUUUUGAGGUCAGCAGGUCACUGGUCAAGGUCACAGUGACCCGGAACACAUAAACGGUUUUUGGACAACAACUUCACAACGCUUGGGACUAGGAUAACGAAAUUUAAUAGGGAGGUUGGUCAUGACCAGCAGAUGACCAAUAAUUAUUUUUGGUUCCGAAGGUCAAAGGUCAUUUAAACCUUUUUCGGACAAUAACUUGAGAACACUUGGGCCGAGGAUCAUGAAACUUUAUAGGGAGGUUGAUCAUGACCAGCAGAUGACCUCUAUUGAUUUUACGGUCAGUAGGUCCAAGGUCAAGCAAGUUCAGCUUUGACAUUGGCCUAGUUCUGUGACAAGGCCAUAUCGUUGGGGUAUAAUUUGUCACUCCUGUGACAACUCUAGUUUUAGUCUAUUCUGAUUUGUUUAAGAGAAAGCCACCAGAGGUUGUGGUCACUUUUCUAAAUCUUUAUACACUGUAUGUGCAGGCCAGCUUAAGUAAGUUGUCCGGAAUGCUUACUGAAUGACUCGAUCACAAUUGCUACCUGUUAGAGCUGAGAAGCUCAGGUGAGCAGUCAAGGUCAUUAUGGCCAUCUUGUUUGAAUAAAUUCUUUUCUUUCAGCAGUAUAUGGUUGUGACAAUUAUUAUCUGGGCAGUUUUAGUGGACAAGUAUUCUCAACUCAUAUUAAGUCCAUUUAAACUGAUCCAGAUGCCACAUUAAUCUUUUAUGUUAUAUGUUGAUAAUUAAGUGAUUUGAUAAUGGCCCUGUUAUUUGUCAGAGGGUAGUCGUAUUGGCCUGAGGCCGAAGGCCAAGGGCUAAUACGACUGUCCCAAAGACAAAUAACAGGGCCAAUAUAAAAUCACUUAUUUAUUGACAAUUUUAUGAAAUAACUACAUGUACUUAAAGGAUUCAAAAUUUAAACACUCAGUUUAUUAAUUGUAACAAAGAACAGCUCUAAAAAUACACAACAUAUUUUAGCCAUUUUUUAGAAAUGUUAAGUUAAGUAAUCAAAAUAUAUAUCACAGUGCAUUUUGAAAAUAAACCGAUGUUUCUGUUU